AGGCCAGUGUAGCUAAUCUUCUUAGUAAUCACAAGGUUUGACUGUUGGAACAGAACAAAGUUCACAUCGUCAACAACAACUAAGGUGGUACGUCAACCAAUAAGAGAGAGCGACAGAGAGAGAAAACACAAAGAGAAAGAUAGAAAAGAAAGACAGACAUAGAUGAAGAGACAGAGAGCUCAGAACGAGAAUCACAACUUUGACUUCUGGGCUGAAACGACCAUCUUUUCUCUCGGAGGGAUUGUUCUUUGGAUUAUUUCCCUGCGCUCUGCGUCGACACGUGAUUGGAUUGAACUCGAAACUCGAUGUGAAGUUUGUGUGACGGUCACGUUUGACUGCUGCUUCAAUCCAAAAGACAAUCUAGCGUCUAGGAGGACAACUGUUGGGGCGACAUGGAAGUAGCUCACUGAGGACAUCCGGCAACCGUGUCCACAUAUGUUCAUUCAUAUCUGCAUUUAAGGGAAACUGAGCAGCAUGGAGGUGCUGAGCGGCCCCUGGGCUGAUCUGGCUCUGCUCCUGCGACAGACCCUCAUGCACACAGACAGAGCCACAGACAGCUUCGUUCCUCUGUGGCUCUUCGGCCUGCUGCUGUUCCUGUCCGUCUCUCUGCUGCUGCUGCAACUGAUAGUCUAUCUCAGCUGGAAGCUCAGACAGGUUGAGGACGAUCAGUCGGGAUUUCCGCAGAACAGAAGCGCCAUCCACAGGCAGAUGUACAGAACUACAAACUUGAGGAGCAGGAGCGUUGGCGCCCACUGUCACACCUGACCGGACAGACUCUGUUGGAGACAUGGACCUAUCACUACAUUUCAGUAAUACAAAACUGACUGAACUGCCUUGAACAGCAUGGAAGCUGACGCUUGUUUGGAUGUCAGAUGAUGUGUGGAAACAUCUUGAAACACUCAGGGAAAUCUGUGUUGAGUAAAUGUGUUUACAAUUUUUCUAGAAUUUGGGAAUACAACUUUAUCGGCUAUUGUUUCUACACCAAACCCACUGUUCUGGAGUGAAAAAAGUGAACGACAGAGGACCAAUGAGAGUAUAACAAUCCUUUAUUCAAACAGUGUUACACGGGGGAGGAGUGGCUGUGUGGGGAGACACAAGACAGUUAAGCUGCUAGAUAGAAAAAACCCUACCAGUGAUCAUUGGUUGUGCUACUAGAGAGCAAGGAGGGAGCGGGUUGCUUUUUUCCAAAAUUUGUUUCUUUAUAAAGUUUUGUUGAAAGUGAGUUUUUCUUACUUUGUUAAAAAUACAAAAUGAUGCUGGUUUUAACGGACUGUAAAUUGAUCUCAUUUGUCCAAACUGUUCAAUAAAGUCUGAGAUUUAAUGUAAAGAAUAGAA